rnacentral:rRNA from 1 species
UACGAAGGGUGCAAGCGUUGUUCGGAAUCAUUGGGCGUAACGCGCGCGCAGGCGGAUCAGUAAGUCCGAUGUGAAAUCUCGGAGCUCAACUCCGAAACUGCGUCUGAAACUACUAGUCUAGAAUGUCGGAGGGGGUAGGGGAAUUUCACGUGUAGGGGUAAAAUCCGUAGAGAUGUGAAGGAACACCGGAGGCGAAGGCGCCUACCUGGACGACUAUUGACGCUGAGGCGCGAAAGCGUGGGGAGCAAACAGG